rnacentral:rRNA from 1 species
CCUACGGGGGGCAGCAGUGGGGAAUAUUGCACAAUGGGGGAAACCCUGAUGCAGCGACGCCGCGUGAGUGAAGAAGUACUUCGUUAUGUAAAGCUCCAUCAGCAGGGAAGAAAAUGACGGUACCUGUGUAAGAAGCCCCGGCUAACUACGUGCCAGCAGCCGCGGUAAUACGUCGGGCGCAAGCGUUAUCCGGAUUUACUGGGUGUAAAGGGGGCGUAGUCGGGAGUGCAAGUCUGGAGUGAAAGGUGGGGGCUCAACCCCCGGACUGCUGUGGAAACUGUACGGCUGGAGUGCAGGAGAGGUAAGUGGAAUGCCUAGUGUAGCGGUGAAAUGCGUAGAUAUUAGGAGGAACACCAGUGGCGAAGGCGGCAUACUGGACUGUAACUGACGUUGAGGCUCGAAAGCGUGGGGAGCAAACAGGAUUAGAUACCCCAGUAGUC